rnacentral:rRNA from 1 species
AUUGAACGCUGGCGGCAGGCCUAACACAUGCAAGUCGAACGGUAACAGGAAGAAGCUUUCUUCUUUGCUGACGAGUGGCGGACGGGUGAGUAAUGUCUGGGAAACUGCCUGAUGGAGGGGGAUAACUACUGGAAACGGUAGCUAAUACCGCAUAACGUCGCAAGACCAAAGAGGGGGACAUUCGGGCCUCUUGCCAUCGGAUGUGCCCAGAUGGGAUUAGCUAGUAGGUGGGGUAACGGCUCACCUAGGCGACGAUCCCUAGCUGGUCUGAGAGGAUGACCAGCCACACUGGAACUGAGACACGGUCCAGACUCCUACGGGAGGCAGCAGUGGGGAAUAUUGCACAAAGGGCGCAAGCCUGAUGCAGCCAUGCCGCGUGUAUGAAGAAGGCCUUCGGGUUGUAAAGUACUUUCAGCGGGGAGGAAGGGAGUAAAGUUAAUACCUUUGCUCAUUGACGUUACCCGCAGAAGAAGCACCGGCUAACUCCGUG